GAUGAACGCUGGCGGCGUGCUUAACACAUGCAAGUCGAACGGUGAAGGCGGAGCUUGCUCUGCUGGAUCAGUGGCGAACGGGUGAGUAACACGUGAGCAAUCCGCCCCUGACUCUGGGAUAAGCGCUGGAAACGGCGUCUAAUACUGGAUACGAGCUGCGAAGGCAUCUUCAGCAGCUGGGAAGAAUUUCGGUCAGGGAUGAGCUCGCGGCCUAUCAGCUUGUUGGUGAGGUAAUGGCUCACCAAGGCGUCGACGGGUAGCCGGCCUGAGAGGGUGACCGGCCACACUGGGACUGAGACACGGCCCAGACUCCUACGGGAGGCAGCAGUGGGGAAUAUUGCACAAUGGGCGAAAGCCUGAUGCAGCAACGCCGCGUGAGGGACGACGGCCUUCGGGUUGUAAACCUCUUUUAGCAGGGAAGAAGCGAAAGUGACGGUACCUGCAGAAAAAGCGCCGGCUAACUACGUG
rnacentral:rRNA from 1 species